CGGCGCUCUGCUAAUCUGUGAAUAUGAUACAUUAAUACACAGGCUAUGUUGGUGAUGGUUUUUUGUUCUUGUAGUGAAUGUGGAUUUCUGAAACUAAUCUAAGGGAAACAUGUUAAUGUGACAGUCACAAGAAGUCCCAAGAAAAUAUGCAUCGCGUGCCCUCAGCCGACAGACGGAUAAGUGCUUGGAAUGAAUAUUCAUGUUGGUUAUCUCCUGUUUCAUUAUCUAAUCAUUGGUUCCUGCUCUCAUUCGUUCUGUUCCUGUUAGUUUGAUUUCCUGCUUUUGGUAAUGUUCUGCACUGUUUGCUGUCAGCCCUGUUAUCUGUGUUGUUGUCACACCUUUCCUCCGUCCCAUGCUCGCAUAAUGAAUACGAUGGACUAACUUAGAUGUCCUAAGGAAGCUUUAAUACGUUUUUUGAGGCAAUAAGUUUGUUUUUUAAUGUUCUGGGAACUGAUUAGAUUUCACAGUGUGUGUGUACAAUCAGUUAAUCACUCAGCAGGAUGUGCUGUAUGGACUCCGCAGCUUCCUUUGUUCUCCGUCAGGUCGUCUUGUUCAUUUAGUCCAAGCUGUUCAGCAUUUCUCUUUGUCUCUUUGUUAUUUUCACAGUUAUUCUUCUUUUUUCCUUUUUUUAAAGCUUUUUGUGUAUUUUUAAUCCUUUUUAUAGAUUAUUUCAUAGACUUGGCAUUUUGGCUGUUCACCAUAUGGACCUUUUCCUCACUGCCUGCCUCUGUGAACGACAAAAGUUUGAAUUUUUUCUGAGCCUCUCUCCUGCAUUUAUUAAACUCUGAUUCCUAAUCAUUCUGCUGUUCAGUGCAAGCAGCUCAAGUGGUCUUUACCAGUGUAAUAACUGUGUAAUAAACACAGUCAAUUUUUAAUAUUUCCUUUAGUGUCCAAACACCAUAUUAAGAACCUCAAUGAUUUCCACAUUCACUCUGCUGCCAUUACAAAGAAAUGCUGCUAUGGUAAAUCCAAUAAUUAUGUCAACACACGUCCUUCCAUCAACCUAUUACUUCUCAUUCAUCUGUAACGUCUGUGUCUGAUGGUUCAGAGUCCUGGCUUGAAUGAAAACGUAUCACUUGUACCACUGUUCUCGUUUUUCCUUGAACUGCUCUUAAAGCCCUGCUUCUCCAGAUGUCUUGAUGCACGAUCACUCAUCCAG
ensembl:lncRNA